rnacentral:rRNA from 1 species
AAAGAUCUAGGUAAGUUUGAAAGUUUUUGUGUCAAAAAAAUUUUUUAAGUCUGCUUAGGGGUGAAAUUCUAAUCGCUUUUAUUAAUAUCUAGUAACUUCAGAAAUAAAUUCAGUUUAGAACGUAUAGGGAGAUUUUAAUUUAAAAAUUGUUCUUAAAACGUUUUUAGAUUUUAGGGGAUGAGCUCUAAAGUCAUUUUAAAAGAUUCGAUUAUAUUGUUUUUUUCAUAGGCUUAGAAUUAGCUAUAAGAAAGUGUUAUAAAAUAUAAGACUAGGUUUAAGAUUUAUUGUUCUUUUUUGUUUAUGAAGUUAUUUUAAAAAUUUUUUAAAGAAAGAAAAUAUGAUAACAUUAGUAGAUAAUAGGAUAAAGAAUAUCAUUUUAAAUUAUUCUCAGGAGUUUAAAUAAAAUAAAUUUUACAGAAGAACUCGGCAAAUGAAAUUUCCGAAUGUUUAACAAAAACAUUUCCUCUUAGUAAAGGAGGUAAGGCCUGCUCACUGAAUUUUAAAGAGCCGCAGUAUCCUAACUGUGCUAAGGUAGCAUAAUCAUUAGUCUUUUAAUUGGAGACUGGUAUGAAUGGCUAAACGAGAGAUUGACUUUUUUUGUAAUAAAAAUUGAAUUUAAUUUUUUAGUGAAAAAGCUAAAAUUUUUCAGAAAGACGAGAAGACCCUAUAGAGUUUCAUACCUCAAAAUAUUUUUUUUAAGUGGAUGUUUCAAACAAAGUGUUGUUGGGUAUUUUGUUGGGGCGACAUUAAGAUAAAUAAAACUCUUUUUUUUAAAAAUUUUUAUAGAAAUAUAUUUAUGAUCCUUUAAAAAAGAUCAAAAGAAAAAAUUACCUUAGGGAUAACAGCGUAAUCUUUUUUGAGAGUUCUAAUCGACAAAAAGGUUUGCGACCU